rnacentral:rRNA from 1 species
AACGAACGCUGGCGGCACGCCUAACACAUGCAAGUCGAACGCACCGCAAGGUGAGUGGCGCACGGGUGAGUAACACGUGGGAAUGUACCCUUUGGUUCGGAAUAACGUUUGGAAACGAACGCUAAUACCGGAUGAGCCCUACGGGGGAAAGAUUUAUCGCCAAAGGAGCAGCCCGCGUCUGAUUAGCUAGUUGGCGGGGUAAAGGCCUACCAAGGCGACGAUCAGUAGCUGGUCUGAGAGGAUGAUCAGCCACACUGGGACUGAGACACGGCCCAGACUCCUACGGGAGGCAGCAGUGGGGAAUAUUGGACAAUGGGCGGAAGCCUGAUCCAGCCAUGCCGCGUGAGUGAUGAAGGCCUUCGGGUUGUAAAGCUCUUUCGCACACGACGAUGAUGACGGUAGUGUGAGAAGAAGCCCGGCUAACUUCGUGCCAGCCGCCGCUGUAAGAC